CGGGACGGGGUGAGUAAUGUCUGGGGAAACUGCCUGAUGGAGGGGGGUAACUACUGGAAACGGUAGCUAAUACCGCAUAACGUCGCAAGACCAAAGAGGGGGACCUUCGGGCCUCUUGCCAUCGGAUGUGCCCAGAUGGGAUUAGCUAGUAGGUGGGGUAACGGCUCACCUAGGCGACGAUCCCUAGCUGGUCUGAGAGGAUGACCAGCCACACUGGAACUGAGACACGGUCCAG
rnacentral:rRNA from 1 species